rnacentral:rRNA from 1 species
GCUUAACACAUGCAAGUCGAGCGAGAAUCGUUUUGCUGAAGGCUUCGGUCUGACGCAGAAUGAGGAAAGCGGCGAACGGGUGAGUAACGCGUGGGCAACCUGGCCUUAAGAAAAGGAUAGCCCCCGGAAACGGGGAGCAAUACUUUAUGAGAAUGAGAGAGGGCAUCCUACUUUCAUUCAAAGCGCAAGCGCUUAAGGAUGGGCCCGCGUAUCAUUAGCUAGUUGGUGAGAUAACAGCCCACCAAGGCAACGAUGAUUAGCCGGUCUGAGAGGGCGAACGGCCACAUUGGAACUGAGAGACGGUCCAAACUCCUACGGGAGGCAGCAGUGGGGAAUAUUGCGCAAUGGAGAAGAACUCUGACGCAGCAAUACCGCGUGAGCGAAGAAGGUCUUCGGAUCGUAAAGCUCUGUUAUCAGGGAAGAAGAAAAUGACGGUACCUGAUGAGCAAGUCCCGGCUAACUACGUGCCAGCAGCCGCGGUAACAC